rnacentral:rRNA from 1 species
AUGUUUGAAAGUAAGAGUGGUCUAUACAGAAUAUCUCGAGAAGUGGAAUUAAGUGUGUUAACACAUCCAGUAGAUUUAAGAAUUGUAAGCAAAAAUAUUGAAAAUGAAUUAAAAUAUUAUGGUUACAAAUAUAUUCAUCAAGGCAUGUAUAUCAUAGGAGUCAAAGGUAUGACAAGGAAGAAAUUAGGUGUGAAGGUUUUGAUAACCUUAUUAGACAGAACAUGGGAAUCUGUAGACAAAGCAGCAUUAGGAUUUUUGGAAGGAGACAUGAAUGAGAAUAGAUUAAUAACCUAUAUAGCUCCAGACCUAAUGAUGCCCGUAAAAUAA